CUACAGCGUGCACUAAAAUAACAGGCUGACUCAUAUUUAACCACUCGAAGACGGAUUGAAAGGAAUAAUUGAACCUUUUUUAAAAAAAAUGAUUGACCAACCAAUCACUCAAAUCGGAUCAUCAUAACAACGAUUUGACAGAAGCAUGUCCCCAAACCCCCAACUAAUCACGCUUAAUUACCAAGCAAGCGUCUGGUUUUCUUUGUUUAUCACUCGCCGAAUUUGUCAGGCUUGCUGAAAGUGGCGAGAAAAAAUGUUAAUCCCUCGAAGGAUGGAUAAUUUAUUGAACAACGGUAACGAACGUUCAACACUAGUAGCGCUAAUAUGCUACCAGCACAGCACCACCCGAGAUGAUCUCGUGGUGGAUAAAUAAAUAAUCUGCCCUUCCGCACGAGGCUCAUAAACGCUGGGGCAUAAAUAUUAUCCCAUCCCCGUCUGCGUCUGCGAUGCCCCAACCCCUCUGCUGUUCGACAUUCAGUCAAACGCCACGAAUGGCCACUUGUUUUUCGCGGGGGAAGUUUGCACCAACGACCGGCACGGUUCGCUAUCGGUUUCGGUGGCCCAACCGUGGGUCCGGGAUAAGAAUUUUAAGCCAAAUAAAAAUAAACUCAACUGGCUGUGUGUUGUGAGGGCUACCGAGGGAAAAUAAAACCACCGCCGCACAUAAUACCAUUUGCGAUGGUGCGGCACACAAAUCGAAUCGAAAAAGACGAACGAUUUUACGAUGCUACUUUUCGACCAAGUCACAGGGUUUUUUGAUGCGCCUUUACGACCGACCAUAAAUCAAUGGACACUUGUGGUUUACUGUGCGCGUCGGACUUGUCGAAGGAGAGGGUAGGGCACAAAAACCCGGGGUGCUGCUCUUAAAAGAUGAUAAAAAUUAAAGUCGUAGCAAAUCCACACGCAAAAAAAAUAUUACUUUUCGACUUCUGUCUGUACAAGGCAGCUUGUUAGUGGUACUGAUGACACGCCGAGUACUCCAAGUCGAGGGGGAAAAUUGGAAAUGGUAGUGUGCAAAGAGGCGAAGAAAGUUGGCUGCUAGUUAACAACAAUACACCCAAACCGUUGGCCUCUUGUGUUGGAGAAAAUCGAAACAAACACACACACACACACACAUCUUUUUUUGAAUGGGUCGUCGGAAUCGGAAAUAGAUUUGACGGAAAUGGUGCGCGUUGACAGAUGUGGGUCGAAUGUCGCCGCGAGUGCACACGCCAAGCGUUCGAGAAACCGGGAAGAAAAUUAGUUGGGCAACCGCGGUACACAGACGCGCCUACAAGGUUUUCAAGGUACGCAUGCCUCCGGAACAAGGACAAAGCAGCAAACAGACAAGAUAGAGUGCUGGAGGAUCUUUGGAGGAUCAAUAGAGCUGGAGCUCUAUUAUCGUAGCAGCAUUUUUCGUAAAAUCAAAUUACACUGCGAGUAGCGCUUCGUCUAGACCGGCAAAGGUUUUUAUUGUAAGGAAGGUCGUCUGUCAAAACCCAUAUAAAACCAAGCGGAUAAAAGUAUACAAUGGAGCAAUCACUCUAAGUUUAGAAAUUCAGCAAAAUUUCCCAGACUUGUUAAUAAUCAAACGUAGGCAACGAGCAACAGUGUGGUGUAGAAGGUCUUUUCAACCUAGCACUCGAAAGCUCCAUUCGAGACAUGCGGACGAGGAAUCUUUCAGAACCCUCGUCUAUAAGCAUUUUUUUUUUACCUGUCCUAAAAUCACACCUUCUGCAGCAGUUAAACGUGGCUAAAACAUUACUCAAAUGCGAAUUUCCACGAGGGUGAAGUUGCAAUUGGAGCGGUUCUGUGUCCCAUCAGGACCGCCUCCCCGUACACAUGGUUAGCUAUCUAGCUGCGUUUAACACUAAGUCGAGCAAACCAGUAAAAUGGCAGGUCAAGUCAUCUUUAGAGGGCUUAGAGCCAAAGAAAUAGAAUUUGCGAUCACCUAACUACAUUUAAAGUCGUCCAAAACUUCACCCAUCUUAGGUCAGCAGACGCGUACCGAUGCUACUAUAGCCUAAGGAAAUUUAUCUACUCUCAUUAUCUGUCAGGAGAAUCGAAGCUGGAACUGUAUGGACAAUUUCUCGUAAUAGUGCUGCCCAACGCCACAGAGCAAUGGAACUUUUCCAAAGGUAGUUUUCCCUAAAUUUAUCCUAGCUGCGUUCGAAUGAAGGAUGAUAAGAAGAAUUUUUGUUCUGUUAUGUGUUGGAAGGAUAAUGGAGGAUCCGGUACAAUGAUGAGAUCUGUGAGCUGUACGGCAAUCUCAUCAUUUGACUCAGCGAAUUUGACAAUUGUCUUGUAAUGAGAAUGACUACAGAACAAGUCACCCCGUAAAGUCUCUUUACUCAGAGAUGUCCAUGGACAUGAGCAUAGACAGAGGUACCGUGACAGGCCAUAAUUGAUGCGUUGAUGCGUUCACCAGAUAUCUAGGACUUUUGCAGUAGGCCAAGCCAAUUCAAACUCCUGAAAUUCUAAUACUAAAAUAAAUUAAACAACUAUUCUCAGUUGA